GCAAACUUGGUCAUUUAGAGGAAGUAAAAGUCGUAACAAGGUUUCCGUAGGUGAACCUGCGGAAGGAUCAUUACUGAAGAAAUGUUAGAGUUGAGCUGACUCUUCGGAGUAUGUGCUUGCUCUAUCACUUUUUCUAUUCUCCUCCUGUGCACCACUGUAGGCUUUUUUACGAGUGCAAAAGAAUUUAUCAGACCUUUUAUUAGGACCGAUAAUACUUUUCUCUCUUUUGAGAGUCUAUGAUUUAUGAACUCUAUAAGUAUUGAAUGUAUCUUGUUGGUCUUGAUUGACCGAUAAAAUGUCUAUACAACUUUCAGCAACGGAUCUCUUGGCUCUCGCAUCGAUGAAGAACGCAGC
rnacentral:misc_RNA from 1 species